UGGGAUUCGGGCAAGAAGGAAG
rnacentral:misc_RNA from 1 species